rnacentral:rRNA from 1 species
AUUGAACGCUGGCGGCAGGCCUAACACAUGCAAGUCGAGCGAGUGGCGGACGGGUGAGUAAUGUAUGGGGACUGCCCGAUAGAGGGGGAUAACUACUGGAAACGGUGGCUAAUACCGCAUACUAUCGGAUAACCCAUAUAGGAUUAGCUAGUCGGGGGGGUAAAGGCUCACCUAGGCGACGAUCUCUAGCUAGUCUGAGAGGAUGAUCAGCCACCUGGGGACUGAGACACAGCCCAGACUACUACGGGGGCAGCAGUGGGGAAUAUUGCACAAUGGGCGAAAGCCUGAUGCAGCCAUGCCGCGUGUAUGAAGAAGGCCUUCGGGUUGUAAAGUUCUUUCAGGAGAGAGGCGUUAACUGCAGAAGAAGCACCGGCUAACUCCGUGCCAGCAGCCGCGGUAAUAC